GACGAACCGUCCAAACGUUAUUCGGAAUCACUGGGCUUACAGAGUCCGUAGGCGGUCUGGAAAGUUGGGUGUGAAAUCCCUCGGCUCAACCGAGGAACUGCGCUUGAAACUACCAGACUCGAGGGAGAUAGAGGAAAGCGGAACUGAUGGUGGAGCGGUGAAAUGCGUUGAUAUCAUCAGGAACACCGGUGGCGAAGGCGGCUUCUGGGUCUUACCUGACGCUGAGGAACGAAAGCUAG
rnacentral:rRNA from 1 species